AGCUCGGGCCGCAGGAAGGAGGGGGGGACGGGGUGCAGCUCGGGCCGCAGGAAGGAGCCGGCCUCGCUCUCCAGGUUUGCAGUUCGGGCUGAGGCUAAUCCGGAGGAAACUUCCCCCGAGAUGAGAAAUCUGACUGGUCUUGGUCCACCAUCCAAAACGCGCAGAGGAUGCACGGACCACCUGACAGUCCGCGGGCCUACGUUGGGUCUUGCCUUUGACUGACAGUGCCUAGGUCCCUCCCCCAGGCAGCACAUUUCAGUUUGGAAAGAAUGAGGAUCAAAAGAAGAAAGCAAAAUGAUGGGAGAAAAAACACGGAACCUCAAAAUGCAGAAAAUGAGAGUGGAAGACAAAGAGCAGGAGGCGAAUGGAGACAGGAAAGAAGGGAGAAAAUGAAAUCCGCAGGCUAAAUGAAGGAGUGCGAAGGGAAAAGAGACGAGAGGAAAAGCAGAAAGUCUGGACUGUCCAUCCAGGGGUAGUUACUAUUAUCACUUUAUUGAUGAGUUGCUUAGGGUUAUUUCAGAGUUACCAAGCUCAAUCAUGUAAUAAACAUCCUAUAAGACAUGUCAGCAGGAGGAAUUCUCCUGAAUUUCCUAGUUUGCAUCCAAACCAUGUGCCAUCCUUUUGAUUGAAUGUGAAAAAUUACGCACUGACUCAUGUUUGCUCUUUUCCAAGGCAGCCAGGGCUGUACUAGAGCCAGUUUAUACCAGCUCCUGAGAGUUAAUUUUUAAUUUUCAAGAAUUUUGUGAGCCAGUGGCAAAACAGCCAUAAUUUAAAAUUAAAUUAUAUUUACUUGCUUUUAAAUAAACUAUAUUUAAUUUUGUUUUUUAAAUGAAAGACAA